GCGCACCGGCCAGCUAGCCCCUUUGUGCGGCGGGGGCUGCGGAGUGCUCCCUCCAAGACCGGUUGCACCCCGCUUUCCUGGCCAGGACUCUGGGCGCAGUUGGAGGCAUCUGUCCACCCAUGUGGUUCCAGACACGUUCAUGUGGCCACCAUGACCCCGUCGGCAUCACAGGAGUAACCAAGAGAGCAGCAAGUUCCUGGGACAGAGGAGACAGAAGGGAAUUUCCAGGUUCUUCAGGACGUUCACAACCACACUGAGAAGCAUCUUUGCAGAUAAGUAUUUAAACUUACCAGCCCAUAGCCUACCAGCCUGCCCUCUUCUGGUCUGUGCAGGAAAGUGUAGUAUCCUAGAAUACCAAAGUGGGAGGGGAAAUGGGUGAUGUAGCUCAUUCUCUUUUCUACCUCUAUGGAAGAAAGAAAGAGCCUGUCCCCAUUUUGUGGGGUCCCAGAAAGGGUGAUUUUCACACUUCACAUUUGGCAUUAGGGCUAGUAUUUUACAAACAUUACCGUCUGGAACUUUUGAAGGCUGAGUUAAAUGACUUCAUCUUGUGUACUUGUAGAACUGCUAUUAGAAGGAGGCUGGGACUCCCUGAUGAUGUGAACCAGCCCUUCUCUUCUCAGUUUCAGCACUUUGUGAUCAUAUUUAUAAACCUUAGACAGGGCUCCUUGGCCUUACAGUUAAGUGAAGAGUUAACACUGUGACUUUAGAUGCAUUUUUCUCAGUGCAAGUGUCUGAGCUCAUCUCCAGUUCUGGACUCGUGCCCCCACUCCCAGGUGCUGACAGCAAGCUCUGAAGAUAUGCUGAGAGAGCUCCCUGACUCUCCUGACUCAGGUCUGCCAGUUGAUG
rnacentral:lncRNA from 1 species